rnacentral:misc_RNA from 1 species
GAUGAAGAACGUAGCGAAAUGCGAUAAGUAGUGUGAAUUGCAGAAUUCAGUGAAUCAUCGAAUCUUUGAACGCACAUUGCGCCCCAUGGUAUUCCGUGGGGCAUGCCUGUUCGAGCGUCAUUUACCCCCUCAAGCUCCGCUUGGUGUUGGGCGUCUGUCCCGCUUCGCGCGCGGACUCGCCCCAAAGGUAUUGGCAGCGGUCGUGCCAGCUUCUCGCGCAGCACAUUGCGCUUCUCGAGGCACCGGUGGGCCCGCGUCCAUCAAGCUCACCCCCCAGUUUGACCUCGGAUCAGGUAGGGAUACCCGCUGAACUUAAGCAUAUCAAUAAGCGGAGGA